CUUUUUCUAUCAACGGCACAAAACCACACAGAGGCCACUGAAACAGACGAAUCUCCUCUUCCUGCGUUGGAGUUUGUUACCCUUCCCUUCCAAAGUUCCGAUAGUGGUGCAGUUGCGAGGCAAUCACCGAAUCAUUUGAGUUUACACGCACGCCACCUGUUCGACAAAAGGCCUCUUCGCGGUUCGGCCACCAUGGCGGGGACGCCUGGCAAGCGCCUUAGGUACACGGCCUCGAGGCGCGUUGGGUCCACGCUCAGCGACCUCCCCGAAGGAGUCCUCCACCACAUCAUGUCCUUCUUGGACUCGCGACAGGCCGUGCAGAUGUGUGUGCUGUUGCAGCGGUGGCGCAACCUCUGGCGCUCCAUGCCUCGCAUCAACAUCGACUGCAAAGAGUCCUCGCAUCAACAUCGACUGCAAAGAGUUCGAGGUGAAAAAAGGAGAGGGACAAGUGUGUGGAGCCAGCAGGGUGCGCGCGUGGGAGGAGAGGGAGCGACCGAUUUUCUCCCUCCAUCGGUCGACCGAUCAUGAGCAUUUUCGAUAACAUAUGUAUCCUAUCAAGAAAUUUUCAAGUGUCAUUACAUAGACUGCCAUUUCACUGCGAUAAUAUUUUUUUUUAAAAAAUGUCAUAAAACAAAAACAUAAUUUUAUUUUCCUACUAGAAUAUAAUUACAGCAUGACUAAUUCGCUGCAGCAAACAUAAUCUUACUUAAGAAUCACCAGAGGCCACAAGCCCAUUAAUUCGGCCCACUAAUGCCGUUUCCCGGACUCGGCCGAUCACAUCCGGCCCAGUAGCAGUCAGGAAGAGUGGAAGACGAACAAACAACUCAGGCGGCGGGGCUCCACCUUUCCGCCACCGCUGGCGAGACGGCCGGCGCGACGCGACGCGACGCGAGGCGGGGCCGCGUGAGACGGCGAGAGGUAGGCGGCACGGCCCAGGCGCAGCGCGCCGCAAGGGCGGGGAAGCGUGCGCGCGCGCGCCACGCGUGUAUGUACUGGUGGUUGAGGGAGGGCAUGCGUGACGCUGACGCAUCGGCUUCAAGCGCAUUCGCGGCCGCCGCGGUGGUGGAGAUGAGCGUCGAAGGACUGGAGGAAGCUGGAUGUCGGAGGGCGCAGGAGCGUUCGCCGAUAAGGUAUACAAGUAGCGAGGCGCGGUGGCGAUUGAAUUGUUAAGUGGGUUCGCCGCGUGCUGUUUGGCUUGCACGCUAACUGUUUGAUGCAAUGCUUCGCUCCUGUUGCCUUGCAGGCCCCUCCAGAAGUUCUACACUUGUAAGACCCCCUUCUUGACGGUAUCGAUCUGCAACAGUCUGUUCUUCCUGAAUCCCCUGGUUCAAUGAUGAAGAUAAGUACCUUACUAAUAAUUUAUUCAUCUUUUUAAGCAUACCACCUGUUCGUUCUCAAUGCCCCUCAGGAGUAAAACUAAGCUGACAAAAUGCAUUUCUGUGCUAUUUAUAUCUCUCGUCUGGUGCCUGUGAUUUGUUGAACCUUCAGGAAUGCUCUGCCCUUAUUCUUUUAUGUUGUCAGGCAGCAUAUAUAUAUUUUAAGUCAAAUAUGAGUUUUUUUCGUUCUUAUAAUGCGAGACAUCAGUAUAGGCUAGUUACAAUUGCAUCUCAUUUGUAAUGAUAUCAGUGAACAUGAUUGGUGUAUUGCGUUUAGAUGCUCCCAGGCUUGGGACGCUAAUAAUAGGAAGGUUAUUGAUAUAGUUUUUUCUUUCUUUUAGCUUCGAACCACUCUAUAUGUUACACGAGCUAUUAGGUUACUAUAUUUAUAACUCCCUCCAUCCCAAAUUAUAGGACACCCUCUUUUUAAGGAAAAUCAAACUCGGUAAACUUUUACUAAUAAUCAUAUUAACCUUAUCUAUGCUAAGUAUUAUGCAUGUUAUAUCAUUAGAUUCAUAUUUUAAAGUACUUUUAUGUGAUACUAAUUUCAUAUUCGUUGGAAAUAUAACAUGGAAUAAAUUAAAGGUCAAAAUAUGUCAUUGAAGACUAUGUAAAUAAAAUAUAAGCCUUAUAAUUUGGGACGGAGGACCAUUUAGCAUUCUAUACAGCUGUCUUUCUAGUGUGAUUUAAAUCUCCAAUGGUAAUAAACUAGUAAUAAUAAUGGUUCAUUAACCAAGUUUGCUGAACCAACAAUGAUAGGCAUUCAAUGAAGAUAUUACAAAUAUUUUCCUUUAAGUACAGCAUGAGAUCUCCUAUCAUUUCAAUAUUUUAUUGAAGAAGAUAAUAGUGAAUAAUUACUUUUAUGUAUGAAUCUUAGGAAAGCUACAGCCUUCUUAUGUGCACUACUAGUUGCGAACAGAAAAUAAAGUUAACCAGCCUAAUAAAAAUAUUUUAGCUAAUUACAAGUUUGCACUCCAUGAGCAGCCCGCCAGAGCUCCUGAAGAUUUCUAAUGCCUACCUCCAAGUUUCAGCUUCCUCCCUGGUGAUGGCUACCUCAAAUCACCUAGUCUCUUUUAUUCUGAAACACACUCUUGUCUCAUUCCAAUUAUAGUUUUGCCAUAUAAUUGGGAUAACUAACAUUCCCUCGUCUUAUUUCGGUCGUGCACUGUUGCUUCAUGAUAGUGAACGUUUGCCAGAUUUAUACCAUGUAAGUUGAUCCAUUGCUAGCUUCCAGAUAGUCCUUUCUAUUAAAGGUGCACUCGAUAUACAAUUGUCACGCUGUCUCUGGCAGAUUCCUACACAUUACAGUUGAACAUUACCAUUGGCAAUAUGCUAACAAUUAUUGAGAAAAUGAUAGGAAUUUGGCAGAAAAUACUACUACUAUGUGAUAUCUUUGGCAAGUACAAAUAUUUGAACUGGGUGGGCUUGAGUCAUGUUCGGAGCCUUACGUCUACUGUCUUGUUUUGUAAUAGAUUUUUUUUCCUAUUAAUUGCAGUGCACACAAUAGUUUGUCAUAAUCUACUUUAUUGAAACCUGAUUAUACAGUUUUAGAGUGACAGGAUCCUUUGGUCAUGCAUUACAUUAAAUUACGAGUGUUAAAGGAAAAUAAAUUUGGCAAACAGCAAAAAAGAAUAAUUCAUUUGCGUGUUUUGUGUUUGCAUGAGGAACAUGUUUUGAGCUGGUUAGUUUGCCCUCACUAGAAAAGCAGGUAAAUUACCUUGGAACUAAAAUAAUGGAAUGCAGGUCAAUACAACUUCUGGGAUAUGUUGCCUCAGAUUGUUGCAUUGCUCCUCUAGCUCUGGGCUGUACCCUUGCAGCUGCCGGUAGGACACCUCGAGCCUCUUGAGGGAACGAAGAGAACGCAAUGAUGAGGGGAGAGACUGCAACCUGUUGCACCCAUAAAAGAUGAGCUCUUGGAGUGAGUGAGGCUGAGAGGCGUUGGCAGAUUGGAGCAGCAAGAACGCCUGAGAUGCUGCCAAUGUCCAACUCCUCCAGCUCCUUAGAGCCAGCCACCACUGUUCGUGCCAUCCUUGUCAUCAGCCGAUCUUCUUCCAGGUCAUAAAUGUCGUAACCGUAAGCCCUCAACGCCUUGAGGUUGUUCAUCAGGGGAAGGUCGUCAUGAACAGCCUGCAUUGCUGCACAAGAGAGGACGCACCCUCCAAGUUGCAACCAAUGGAGGGACAUGAGCUUCUUGAGCACUUCAUCCUUCACAUUCAUGGUCAGGUGAUCCCUGGAGAAGAUACCUAAUCUGCUUAACGAGCUGGUAAACUGAGAUGGGAAUUGCAACAUGCCAUCAAUAUCAUUGUCAUCGUCGUCCAUUUCAUGGCUGCUCUGUUGCAUGCACAGUCCUGUUAUGCCCUUGCAGUCUUCCAUUUCCAAAUGGGAAAGACAAGGACAGCAAGCAAGAAUCUCCGAUAGCUCCUUCCCUGUGAUGUAGCAGUUCCUGAGCAUAAGAUGCUUGAUUGGUAUCUGGAUGGCAUCACUCUCUCCUCUUCCAGAUGAUAGGCUGAUGCAAUCCUCUAUAGCCAAUGUUUCAAGCGAGGUUAGCUUCUGCAGGGUAGCUAAUGGCACAGACGAGCAUACCUUGAUGGUCACACGAACUAACCAUUCCAUGUCAUGGAAUGCCAACACAUUGUCCAGGUUACCCAAGUUCAACAAAAUGUUGUCCACUCCUCUGAUUUCCAACAUGUGUAUAUCGUAAAGAAGUUUAUAUGGACGACUUGCCACUUUCGCCAACUCUAACUUAGUCGUAUAAG